AUUCAAAUAACUUAUAUAGAGUAUAACAUUGAAGCUGUUAACGAGAUGAAUAUUUAUCUUUGAAUA
rnacentral:tRNA from 1 species